CGGGUGAGUAACACGUGGGUGACCUACCUUCGAGUGGGGGAUAACGUCCCGAAAGGGACGCUAAUACCGCAUGACAUCCUGCCUUUGAACAGGCGGAGAUCAAAGCCGGGGAUCGCAAGACCUGGCGCUUGAAGAGGGGCUCGCGUCCGAUUAGCUAGUUGGUGAGGUAACGGCUCACCAAGGCGACGAUCGGUAUCCGGCCUGAGAGGGCGGACGGACACACUGGGACUGAGACACGGCCCAGACUCCUACGGGAGGCAGCAGUGGGGAAUUGUUCGCAAUGGGCGCAAGCCUGACGACGCAACGCCGCGUGGAGGAUGAAGACCUUCGGGUCGUAAACUCCUUUCGACCGAGAUGAAUUCUCGCCGACCUAACACGUCGGCGAGGUGACAGUAUCGAGGGAAGCAGCCCCGGCUAACUCCGUGCCAGCAGCCGCGGUAAUAC
rnacentral:rRNA from 1 species